rnacentral:rRNA from 1 species
UACGUAGGGUGCGAGCGUUGUCCGGAAUUAUUGGGCGUAAAGUGCUUGUAGGCGGUUUGUCGCGUCUGCUGUGAAAAUCCGGGGCUCAACCCCGGACUUGCAGUGGGUACGGGCAGACUAGAGUGUGGUAGGGGAGACUGGAAUUCCUGGUGUAGCGGUGGAAUGCGCAGAUAUCAGGAGGAACACCGAUGGCGAAGGCAGGUCUCUGGGCCACUACUGACGCUGAGAAGCGAAAGCAUGGGGAGCGAACAGG